rnacentral:tRNA from 1 species
GCCCGGAUGGUGAAAUUGGUAGACACAAGAGACUUAAAAUCUCUCGCUCGUUGAGCGUACCGGUUCGACCCCGGUUCCGGGCACCA